UCGGAGUCGCUAGUAAUCGCAGAUCAGCAACGCUGCGGUGAAUACGUUCCCGGGGCUUGUACACAAAGCCCCG
rnacentral:rRNA from 1 species